AUUGAACGCUGGCGGCAUGCCUUACACAUGCAAGUCGAACGGCAGCAUGGAGAGCUUGCUCUCUGAUGGCGAGUGGCGAACGGGUGAGUAAUGCAUCGGAACGUACCGUGUAAUGGGGGAUAACGUAGCGAAAGUUGCGCUAAUACCGCAUACGACCUGAGGGUGAAAGCAGGGGAUCGCAAGACCUUGCGUUAUACGAGCGGCCGAUGUCAGAUUAGCUAGUUGGUGAGGUAAAGGCUCACCAAGGCGACGAUCUGUAGCGGGUCUGAGAGGAUGAUCCGCCACACUGGGACUGAGACACGGCCCAGACUCCUACGGGAGGCAGCAGUGGGGAAUUUUGGACAAUGGGGGCAACCCUGAUCCAGCCAUGCCGCGUGAGUGAAGAAGGCCUUCGGGUUGUAAAGCUCUUUCGGCCGGGAAGAAAUCGCACAGGCUAAUACUCUGUGUGGAUGACGGUACCGGCAUAAGAAGCACCGGCUAACUACGUGCCAGCCGCCGCAGUAAAAC
rnacentral:rRNA from 1 species